rnacentral:lncRNA from 1 species
CGAAGAAGGGCAGAAGCAGCGGCCACCAUCGUUUGAAGAUUGAAGUGGCUCGCCGUCGCCGCCCGUCCCGCCGCCGUCCCGUCACCCGCUCGCCGCCCUCGCAUCCCGCCGCUUGUCCCUCGCAUCCUUGCCGCCUAGCAGCUCCGUCCAGCAGCUGGUUGGUCUCUGUCCAGCUUCGGGAGUAGCUGAAGAAGCGGCUGAACCGCCGACCAGCUCCAUCUCCGGCCACUGUCCGGCCUCACCGGAGCUCCACCCGCUCUCCCGACCUCUUGCCGCCCCUAACCCUCUCUCUUUCUCUCUGUUUUGCAGCUAAACCAGCAGACCCACGAAGUGGGUUUCCAGCACUUUGGGCCCGCUUUUGGACCGUUUCCCGGCCCCGAACCCGAGCCGUGCUUUAGGAACAAUCGUUCCUCGCGUCGCCGCCGUCGGAUUGAUCCGAUUUGCGCGCGAUUUGGUGAGUAAUCUCACUAAUCCUGGAUUAGUUGGCUAAUUAUGCUUAAGGUUGGUUUAGAUUUAAUUAAUUAUGUUUAGGUUGUUAGAUUAUAAUAAAUUAGUCAUUAUUAGUCAAUUGUGAUGAGAUUUAGAUAAAUUGAUUGUGCAAUUAGCAAGUAGACGUGGUCUACUAAUUAUUGGAAGUGCCUUGGGAUUUUUCCCGAUCCUUAGUGGACUCCAAUUAGGCUCUUCGGGCCUAAGUGGAUUUUUUUUGUAUUUAAAUAUUAAUUUUCGGAAUUAAAUAAAAUAAUUAUUUAUUUUCCGAAAAUUCAACUGAGAUGGCCUGGGACCGGAAUAUUGUGCUGCUGACGGUGGUGAAGUCCGUUUAUUUAAUCGGGCUUUAUUUUGAGCUAAAUUGAAUUUUUAAUAUUAAUUAUUUAAUUUUCGAAAUUAAUUAUUUAAUUAUUUAUUUUUCAGAAAUUAAGAUUUUGAUGGCCAAUGACGGAAAUCUCGUGCUGAUCGUUGUGGCUCAGUCCGUUUAUUUAUUUGAGCUCCACGUUGUAUGGAAUUGAAUAAAUUGUGAUAUUUUAGGGAUUUACCCUAAAUUGAUUGGAAUUGAUUGAGAUUGAAUUGUUGAUUGGUAAAUGGCCAAGUAUGUUUAUUCAGCAUUUAUAGUGCUUUGUUGAGUUGUAAAGUGAGUAGAAUGGCGAGAGUGAAUCAGAAGUACUUUGGGAUUGAACCAAUCAGACACGGUGUAUGGACCUAUGUGGUUCGGUGAUUGGGACAUCACUGGCGAAAACGGCGCCUUAAAGAACGCACGUAUCGGUCUAGUACACACAUUAUUAUGGACCUACGUGGUUCGGUGAUUGGGAUAUCACUGGCGAAAACGACGCCUUAAAGAACGCACGUAUCGGUUUAGUACUCAUAUUGUUAUAGGCAUGUAUGGUUCGGUGACUAAGGGUGUCACUGACGAAAACGGCGCCUUAAACAACGCAUACACUUGUCUAUUAAAUACAUUGUUAUAGGCAUGUGUGGUUCGGUGAUUAUGGAACUCACUGGCGAAAACGACGCCUUAAAGAACGCACACAAUUGUCUAUUGAGUACAUGGUUAUAGGCAUGCUUGGUUCGGUGAUAAGGGCAUCACUGGCGAAAACGGCGCCUUAAAGAACGCACGCAAUUGUCUAUUGAUCAAAUCAUUGUAGGCAUGUGUGGUUCGGUGAUUUGGGAUAUCACUGGCGAAAACGGCGCCUUAAAGAACGCACACAGUUGUCUAGUGGAUACGUCACCUUGGCGAAGUUGACGCCCGAGAGCAUUGAUGUGGCUUUGUGACCGAGUACUCGAUGAAAGAAUAUAUGGUGUGGAAUCAAUGACCUAGAAUGGUUCGUCUGACAUGUAAUCGACUAGAUCGAUUGAUCAUUGCUUUGAUUUGAUGUUGUGAAUCGAUUGACUGAAUGUAAAUGAUCGUGAGUGGUCUUGUUGGCAUAUAAUCGACUAGGUCGAUUUGAUCGAUGCUUCCAUCGAUGAUAUGACUGUUUGGGUGCCUAUGUUAAAUUGUACUGACUUGUAGGUGAGAUCUGAGGCCAAGGUAAGUCCUCUGCUCUGUGCGUGUUUAGGCAGCCUAUAGUAUAAUGGUUUAUCUAAUCGGGCUUAGUGGGGUAGAACUCGCUGAGACGUAGUCUCAUCCUAGUUUGGGGAAAACCAUUUCAGGACCCCGGUGAGAAGCUGAAGAGGAGGAGUCUAAGAAGGAGAACUCGGAGGUGAAACUUAAGGAGAAAGAUUUUUGGGAGAAGAUGAUAAUCCCGAGAAGGGCCUUGAGUACGGCCCAGUUCGUCUAAGUUUCUGUCUUCUUUUGAGAUCUCUAUUUCGAUGUGAUAGUUUUGAGUGAUUUGUGUUUUGUAUAAAAGUUUGGUUAUAAAUUUCAAUAUGAAAAAUAUGGCCCUG